rnacentral:rRNA from 1 species
UUCCCGCAUCGAUGAAGAACGCAGCGAAACGCGAUAGUUAAUGUGAAUUGCAGAAUUCAGUGAAUCAUCGAGUCUUUGAACGCACAUUGCGCCCAUUGGUAUUCCUUUGGGCAUGUCUGUUUGAGCGUCAUUACAACCCUCAGCUACCCGCUGGUU